UACGGGGGAUGCAAGCGUUAUCCGGAAUCAUUGGGCGUAAAGCGUCUGUAGGUUGUUUAAUAAGUCUGUUGUUAAAGACUAGGGCUUAACCCUAGAGAAGCAAUGGAAACUACUAGACUUGAGUAUGGCAGGGGUAGAGGGAAUUUCUAGUGUAGCGGUGAAAUGCGUAGAUAUUAGAAAGAACACCGGUGGCGAAAGCGCUCUACUGGACCAUUACUGACACUCAGAGACGAAAGCUAGGGUAGCAAAAGGGAUUAGAUACCCCUGUAGUCCUAGCCGUAAACGAUGGAUACUAGAUGUUGUGUUUAAUAUGCAGUAUCGUAGCUAACGCGUUAAGUAUCCCGCCUGGGGAGUACGCUCGCAAGGGUG
rnacentral:rRNA from 1 species